rnacentral:rRNA from 1 species
UAACGGCCCACCAAGGCGACGAUCAGUAGGGGUUCUGAGAGGAAGGUCCCCCACAUUGGAACUGAGACACGGUCCAAACUCCUACGGGAGGCAGCAGUGAGGAAUAUUGGUCAAUGGGCGAGAGCCUGAACCAGCCAAGUAGCGUGCAGGAAGACGGCCCUAUGGGUUGUAAACUGCUUUUAUAGGGGAAUAAAGUGAGCCACGUGUGGUUUUUUGCAUGUACCCUAUGAAUAAGGACCGGCUAAUUCCGUGCCAGCAGCCGCGGUAAUACGGAAGGUCCGGGCGUUAUCCGGAUUUAUUGGGUUUAAAGGGAGCGUAGGCCGGAGAUUAAGCGUGUUGUGAAAUGUAGAUGCUCAACAUCUGCACUGCAGCGCGAACUGGUUUCCUUGAGUACGCAUAAAGUGGGCGGAAUUCGUGGUGUAGCGGUGAAAUGCUUAGAUAUCACGAAGAACUCCGAUUGCGAAGGCAGCUCACUGGGGCGCAACUGACGCUGAAGCUCGAAAGCGCGGGUAUCGAACAGGAUUAGAUACCCUGGUAGUCCGCGCGGUAAACGAUGGAUGCCCGCUGUUGGGCCAACUGGUUCAGCGGCCAAGCGAAAGCAUUAAGCAUCCCACCUGGGG